rnacentral:rRNA from 1 species
AUCCUAUUAAAACUAUUAAAUUGCAAAAAACCAAUAAGGAAUUACUGGUUAUAGAAUUUAAUAUAGAAAAAAAAUAGGCAUUAUCGUACGAAAACUAACACAAGUUAGUUUGCUGAGUAAGCUAAGGUAUAAGAAAUAACAACAUUAAAGGAACUCUGCAAAUUUUCUUUGUAACUUCGGGAGAAAAAGAACUAAUUAGUUAAAAAAAUAGAGGGUAGCGACUGUUUAACAAAAACAUAAGACUUUGCUAAAUAUAAUUAUGAUGUAUAAAGUCUGACAUCUGCCCGGUGUUGCAAGAUAAAAAAUAUAAACAUGUGUUUAUAUAUAAGUCCCAAUAAACGGCGGCCGUAAUCCUAACGGUCCUAAGGUAGCAAAAUCCCUUGACGGGUAAGUUCCGUCCUGCACGAAUGGUGUAACGACUGCCCUACUGUCUCUAGUGUUGAUUUAUGAAAUUGAAAUAGACGUGAAGAUGCGUUAAUGUACAGCUAGACGGAGAGACCCUAUGCACCUUUACUGUUAUCU